ACACGUCUAGUUUAAAUAAAACACCUAAUUUGUAAUUAUGAAAUGCUUAAUAUAACAUUGCGACAUGUG
rnacentral:tRNA from 1 species